UAAGUUAUCAGGUUAGUGAUACACUUGUCCCUUUAAACUUACACUACACUGUUUAAAGUACUGUUAUUGGUUUGUAUGUGCACUUUAUUUUAUAUUCUACUGUAAAUGUAAUGUUACAAUUCUUGCACUUUGUUGAUUGUUGAAUGUUAUUGUCUCAUGUUGCACCACCCGCCAUGACACAUUCCUUGUAUGUGAAAACAUCCUUUGCAAUAGAUAGAUAGAGAGAUGGAUAGAUAGAGCGAUUAACAGAUACUUUAUUCAUCCACAGGGGGAAAUUUGGUUAUAGAAGCAAGGUUACAGAGUAAACACACAAUAUAUACAAUGAAAUAGCAGAGCAGGAAAUAUUCAAUUUAAGAAAAUUAGAUGAUAAAGAAAAUGGAAAGUCUAUAGAGUGUAAAUACAGUGAAAGGGUUAUUGAUCAAUUUAAGGAGGAUAUGGUCAGAGGUGAUUUAUUAUAAAGUCUGAUAGCAGUUGGCAGGAAUGUUCUCCCGUAUCUGUCCUUUGGUAUUCCUGUCCUCUCACCCUCUCUUUAGCUGUGGAACGUCCUGAAGCAGCUCCCCAGCCCCCCAGAAACCAGAAGUCUCCCAGGAGGAGCAGGAAGAGGAGGAGCCCGACUGCCCGGCAGGACGGAUAAAGUUCCAGACAGCCUUCCCUCGCGCCUGGCGGGGGAAGGCUGGUUCUACUUUUUUAUUUAGGUAUCGAUUGCUGUGACAAGUCUACCAGGAUCUCCUUAACGACGACGAAGAAGAUGACGAGGGAGGACUACAUGAGAAGGAUGAAGGACUACAGGACCAGAUGCAGAGCGGCGGUUGCCUUUCUUUUAGUGGGUGGAGGCAGGACUCCUCUGUCUCUCUCCCAGCUGAGGGUGGACGUCAACCAACCCGUCACCCUCAGCUGACCACUGAACAGGUACAAUCAGGACCCCCCCCCCCGCCCGUCCACCCAGACCCCUGACACCGCCCGCCCCGCCCACACAGGAAGCAGCUGUGAAGAAGACGGACGCUUCAGCCUGAACGAGACAUAAUAAUUCUUUAAUUUGUCACAUGGAAUACUGUACGUUCAUGUUAACUGUGUACAGUAUUUAGAUUAUCUCCUGAUUUUAAUAAAUACAUGUACAGCAACA